rnacentral:rRNA from 1 species
GAUGAACGCUGGCGGCGUGCCUAAUACAUGCAAGUCGAGCGAACGGACGAGAAGCUUGCUUUUCUGAUGUUAGCGGCGGACGGGUGAGUAACACGUGGAUAACCUACCUAUAAGACUGGGAUAACUUCGGGAAACCGGAGCUAAUACCGGAUAAUAUUUUGAACCGCAUGGUUCAAAAGUGAAAGACGGUCUUGCUGUCACUUAUAGAUGGAUCCGCGCUGCAUUAGCUAGUUGGUAAGGUAACGGCUUACCAAGGCAACGAUGCAUAGCCGACCUGAGAGGGUAAUCGCCCACACUGGAACUGAGGCACGGUCCAGACUCCUACGGGAGGCAGCAGUAGGGAAUCUUCCGGAAUGGGAGAAAGCCUGACGGAGCAACGCCGCGUGAGUGAUGAAGGUCUUCGGGUCGUAAAACUCUGUUAUUAGGGAAGAACAUAUGUGUAAGUAACUGUGCACAUCUUGACGGUACCUAAUCAGAAAGCCACGGCUAACUACGUG